rnacentral:rRNA from 1 species
UGGGGAAUAUUGGGCAAUGGGCGAAAGCCUGACCCAGCGACGCCGUGUGGGCGAUGAAGGCCUUCGGGUUGUAAAGCCCUGUGAGGUGGAAAGAAGGGCCUAGAGGUUAAUACCCUUUAGGCUUUGACGGUACCACCAGAGGAAGCACCGGCUAACUCCGUGCCAGCAGCCGCGGUAAUACGGAGGGUGCAAGCGUUGUUCGGAAUUACUGGGCGUAAAGGGCGCGUAGGUGGUUGUGUAAGUCAGAUGUGAAAUCCUUAGGCUUAACCUGAGAACUGCAUCUGAGACUGCAUGACUCGAGUACAGCAGAGGGAAACGGAAUUCCUGGUGUAGAGGUGAAAUUCGUAGAUAUCAGGAGGAACACCGGUGGCGAAGGCGGUUUCCUGGGCUGAUACUGACACUGAGGCGCGAAAGCGUGGGGAGCAAACA